rnacentral:rRNA from 1 species
CUCUAAGGUGACUGCCGGUGACAAACCGGAGGAAGGUGGGGAUGACGUCAAAUCAUCAUGCCCCUUAUGACCUGGGCUACACACGUGCUACAAUGGACAGAACAAAGGGCAGCGAAACCGCGAGGUUAAGCCAAUCCCACAAAUCUGUUCUCAGUUCGGAUCGCAGUCUGCAACUCGACUGCGUGAAGCUGGAAUCGCUAGUAAUCGCGGAUCAGCAUGCCGCGGUGAAUACGUUCCCGGGCCUUGUACACACCGCCCGUCACACCACGAGAGUUUGUAACACCCGAAGUCGGUGAGGUAA